AAUAGAUACCCUGGUAGUCCACGCCGUAAACGAUGAGUGCUAAGUGUUAGAGGGUUUCCGCCCUUUAGUGCUGAAGUUAACGCAUUAAGCACUCCGCCUGGGGAGUACGGCCGCAAGGCUGAAACUCAAAGGAAUUGACGGGGGCCCGCACAAGCGGUGGAGCAUGUGGUUUAAUUCGAAGCAACGCGAAGAACCUUACCAGGUCUUGACAUCCUCUGACAACCCUAGAGAUAGGGCUUCUCCUUCGGGAGCAGAGUGGCAGGUGGUGCAUGGUUGUCGUCAGCUCGUGUCGUGAGAUGUUGGGUUAAGUCCCGCAACGAGCGCAACCCUUGAUCUUAGUUGCCAUCAUUAAGUUGGGCACUCUAAGGUGACUGCCGGUGACAAACCAGAGGAAGGUGGGGAUGACGUCAAAUCAUCAUGCCCCUUAUGACCUGGGCUACACACGUGCUACAAUGGACGGUACAAAGAGCUGCAAGACCGCGAGGUGGAGCUAAUCUCAUAAAACCGUUCUCAGUUCGGA
rnacentral:rRNA from 1 species